GGGGGUAUAGCUUAGUGGUAGAGCAGUCGACUGCAGAUCGAAAGAUCCCCGGUUCGAGUCCGGGUACCCCCU
rfam:Anopheles darlingi Cont6601, whole genome shotgun sequence.